rnacentral:rRNA from 1 species
AUUGAACGCUGGCGGCAGGCCUAACACAUGCAAGUCGAGCGAGCGGCGGACGGGUGAGUAAUGUCUGGGAAACUGCCUGAUGGAGGGGGAUAACUACUGGAAACGGUAGCUAAUACCGCAUACCAUCAGAUGUGCCCAGAUGGGAUUAGCUAGUAGGUGGGGUAACGGCUCACCUAGGCGACGAUCCCUAGCUGGUCUGAGAGGAUGACCAGCCAAACUGGAACUUAGACACGGUCCAGACUCAGACGGGAGGCAGCAGUGGGGAAUAUUGCACAAUGGGCGCAAGCCUGAUGCAGCCAUGCCGCGUGUAUGAAGAAGGCCUUCGGGUUGUAAAGUACUUUCAGCGAGGAGGCGUUACCCGCAGAAGAAGCACCGGCUAACUCCGUGCCAGCAGCCGCGGUAAUUC